UGAGGAAUAUUGCACAAUGGCGGAAGCCUGAUGCAGCAACGCCGCGUGAGUGAUGAAGGCCUUCGGUUGUAAAGCAUCUGUCUUUUGGGACGAUAAUGACGGUACCAAAGGAGGAAGCCACGGCUAACUACGUGCCAGCAGCCGCGGUAAUACGUAGGUGGCAAGCGUUGUCCGGAUUUACUGGGCGUAAAGGAUGCGUAGGCGGAUUUUUAAGUGAGAAUGUGAAAUACCCGGGCUUAACUUGGGUGCUGCAUUUCAAACUGGGAAUCUAGAGUGCGGGAGAGGAGAAUGGAAUUCCUAGUGUAGCGGUGAAAAUGCGUAGAGAUUAGGAAGAACACCAGUGGCGAAGGCGAUUCUCUGGACCGUAACUGACGCUGAGGCAUGAAAAGCGUGGGUAGCAAAACAGGAUUAGAUACCCUGGUAGUCCACGCCGUAAAACGAUGAGUACUAGGUGUAGGAGGUAUCGACCCCUUCUGUGCCGCAAGUUAACACAAUCAAGUACUCCGCCUGGGAAGUACGAUCGCAAGAUUAAAAACUC
rnacentral:rRNA from 1 species